GUGAGGAAUUUUCCGCAAUGGGCGAAAGCCUGACGGAGCAAUGCCGCGUGAAGGAUGAAGGCCUAUGGGUUGUAAACUUCUUUUCUCAGAAAAGAAUUAUGACGGUAUCUGAGGAAUAAGCAUCGGCUAACUCUGUGCCAGCAGCCGCGGUAAGACAGAGGAUGCAAGCGUUAUCCGGAAUGAUUGGGCGUAAAGCGUCUGUAGGUUGUUUAAAAGUAUUCUGUCAAAGAUUAGGGCUUAACCCUAGAUAGGCAGAAUAAACUUUUAAGCUAGAGUUUGGUAGAGGCAGAGGGAAUUCCCGGUGGAGCGGUGAAAUGCGUAGAUAUCGGGAGGAACACCAAAGGCGAAGGCACUCUGCUGGGCCAAUACUAACACUGAGAGACGAAAGCGAGGGGAGCAAAUGGGAUUAGAUACCCGAGUAGUCC
rnacentral:rRNA from 1 species